rnacentral:hammerhead_ribozyme from 1 species
ACCUAGCUGACGAGUCCCAAAUAGGACGAAACGCGCAUCCUGAAU